UGUUUUGUGUAAGUUGGUGUAGUCACGUCGAUAUUUGUAUUUGUAAUCAUUUGUAAUUUUUGUAAUGAGUCACGGAAAUGAAACAGUGAGAUUUCCUUGGGUUGUUUAUGUAUAAUGUGGUAUUAAAUAGCAUUUAAUGUACAUGUUUAACAUUGUCUCGAUUUUAUCUCUCAUUUUUUUCGUAAACGUCAAGAAAACGAAGUGAAAUCCUAAUAAUAUACCUAUAGGUGCUUAUAUAGAGUAAAUAUGAGAUAAGCAUAAUAUUUUUUACCGCUUACUGCCUACUUACGAGAGAUUAAAUUUAAUCAGUACAAUCCCAGCGUUUGAAAAGCCGUAAUUACAUACUGUCAGAUACUGUCCAAUAACGUAAUUCUUUACCAUUACUGUAAUGUUGAAGUUUUUAAUACUUUCUGUUUUGGUUGUAGUAUUAUCAGCUUCACAAAUGACAGACAAGGAAGAAUGGACCUUAUUCAAGUCUACUCAUGGAAAAAAUUACCAAACUGAAGAAGAGGAACAGCGCCGCUUUCAGAUAUUUCAAGAUAAUUUCAAAAAAAUUAAAGAACACAAUGAAAAAUACGAAAGAGGCGAAACAACAUACACAAUGGGAAUUAACAAAUUCGCUGACCUGACACCAGAGGAAUUCAAAGCAAUAUACGGACGUGGAGUUCUUCCAAAGAGAAAAGAGGAAAAUGAAUAAUGGAUAUUUAUAUUAAUUUCAUACACAAAGAUUUAAAUGUAUACAAUUACCUUAGAUUAUAUUACACUUACUCUGAGUAAAAUAUAACUUUUAUUUAUGAAAUUACUACUCUGUUAUAUUAAAUAUACUUGUUUUCAAUGUUA